CAUCGCUUCCACGUUACAACCUUAGAUUUCGUCCGCUCAGUCAAGUCCAGCUUGUGUCUCGUCGAAGUUGCUGAUAAGGUGGCCCGAGUGCGACGUCGGGGAUAAAUGAAUGUCGUUUUGUCUCGAAUUUCUUCAAGGUAAAUAGCUCGUGUAAUUUCAUCUUUAGAGAAGUGCAGUAUCCGUGUCUCUUGCCGUUGCCCUCGUUCAAACUGGAGCUUUGGAUAUGGAAAGGAAAAUUCAACCAUGCACAGCCGCCCGGACAGUUCUACAUGUGCCACGUGAUUUACGGGCAACAGUGAGGAAUUUUUACUUAAUGGAAAACAUCAAGCAUAGAAUAUGAACUUCUCAAAGUAAGAAAUUCGAGGGAGGAAAGAGAAACCGGACAACUUUUAAUCUGGGCAGGGUCAAGAAUAGAAUGAAAGCAAAAAUUUGGAAAUCAAGAGAUACAAGGGAGGAAAAUGAAGAUGGAGGGAAGCAUCCAAUAAGAGUCGGAAGAUGAGGAUGAAAACAGGGACUCAAAGAGGAUUGGAGAAUUGGAAUGGGAAAUGCACAGAGAGAUCAAUGAUGAAGAACUCGGCAAACUAAAAUAUCGCCAACUCCUGUUUUCGAUCCUCCUCUGUGAAGUCAUGCGUGUGCCUGUUUACUCGACUUGUGCCAGUGCUAAAUGAUACUCACAGGUUAGUAUGAAUCAUAUUUCAGUUGCCUCACGUUUUCCUUUUUGUAUGUGCCAAAAAAAGCGAGGAAAAAGCGCGAUGGUUUUAUA